UACGUAGGGGGCUAGCGUUGUCCGGAUUUAUUGGGCGUAAAGAGCGUGUAGGCGGCCAGGCAGGUCCGCUGUGAAAACUCGAGGCUCAACCUCGAGAGGUCGGUGGAAACCGUCUGGCUAGAGUCCGGAAGAGGAGAGUGGAAUUCCCGGUGUAGCGGUGAAAUGCGCAGAUAUCGGGAAGAACACCCGUGGCGAAGGCGGCUCUCUGGGACGGUACUGACGCUGAGACGCGAAAGCGUGGGGAGCGAACAGG
rnacentral:rRNA from 1 species